rnacentral:lncRNA from 1 species
GAGUUACACGUCCAUCUUUCCUACUCACCGAUGAGGUUCAGGGAGCAGUGGUCACAAGAACCCACAAGAGUCAGAAGCAGCUCUGGAGGUCAGCACCACACCAGGACAGAGGCUCCAAGCUCCCGAGGAGAGCAGCUGUGGGCGGAGCCACCUGCAGACUUGACCAUGGAGCACACCCCAGAGGCUGCCUGCCCGGGUGAGCCCCAGUGCCAGGUGCCCCCUGGUGGUAGUCACCUGAAGGACUCUCCCUGUCCCGGGCUGGUAAAAGCAUUAGGACUCUGUAAAACUCAUGUCCGGAUGACAGUCUACCCUUUAAACACCCAUCGUUUCGC